AUCGAGCGGGACCAGGUAUAAUCUAGAUAGCAGUAAGUUGUCGAGUGAAGAUUCAGUGAUACCAACUACACAUCAAAAUGGAGGACAUCACUAACUCGAUCACUGUGGACAACAAAGAUUAGCUUACAAUAACUACAGACGAGGUGAGA